GACGAACGCUGGCGGCGUGCCUAAUACAUGCAAGUAGAACGCACAGUUUAUACCGUAGCUUGCUACACCAUAGACUGUGAGUUGCGAACGGGUGAGUAACGCGUAGGUAACCUGCCUGGUAGCGGGGGAUAACUAUUGGAAACGAUAGCUAAUACCGCAUAAUAUUAAUUAUUGCAUGAUAAUUGAUUGAAAGAUGCAACUGCAUCACUACCAGAUGGACCUGCGUUGUAUUAGCUAGUAGGUGAGGUAACGGCUCACCUAGGCGACGAUACAUAGCCGACCUGAGAGGGUGAUCGGCCACACUGGGACUGAGACACGGCCCAGACUCCUACGGGAGGCAGCAGUAGGGAAUCUUCGGCAAUAGACGAAAGUCUGACCGAGCAACGCCGCGUGAGUGAAGAAGGUUUUCGGAUCGUAAAGCUCUGUUGUAAGAGAAGAACGGGUGUGAGAGUGGAAAGUCACACCUGGACGGUAUCUACC
rnacentral:rRNA from 1 species